AUCGCUUCUCGGCCUUUUGGCUAAGAUCAAGUGUAGUAUCUGUUCUUAUCAGUUUAAUACACGUCAUCAUCAUGUAUGCCAUUUUUAUGAAGGAGAGGAUUAAUGGACAAAAUGAAUGAGUUAUGUUAUAUUUUGUCAUAAAAAUAAAAUAAUAAAAUAAAUUAAAAUCCUGGCAGUUGACUGAGAACACAG